AAACCAAGAAGCUUGCUUCUUGGGGUUGUAGGACACUCUAUACGGAGUUACAAAAGAAAGUUAUAAAUGAAGCGGUCUGGAAAGGCCCGCCAAAGACGGUAACAGCCCGGUAGUUGAAAUGGCUUUCCCUCCAGAGUGGAUCCUGAGUACGGCGGAACACGUGAAAUUCCGUCGGAAUCCGGGAGGACCAUCUCCCAAGGCUAAAUACUCCCUAGUGACCGAUAGUGAACCAGUACCGUGAGGGAAAGGUGAAAAGCACCCCGGAAGGGGAGUGAAACAGUUCCUGAAACCGUGUGCCUACAAGUAGUUAGAGCCCGUUAAUGGGUGAUAGCGUGCCUUUUGUAGAAUGAACCGGCGAGUUACGAU
rnacentral:rRNA from 1 species